AUGACCUCGGAUCAGGUAGGGAUACCCGCUGAACUUAAGCAUAUCAAUAAGCGGAGGAAAAGAAACCAACAGGGAUUACCUCAGUAACGGCGAGUGAAGCGGUAACAGCUCAAAUUUGAAAUCUGGCUCCUCGGGGCCCGAAUUGUAAUUUGUAGAAGAUGCUUUGGGUCUGGGCCUGGCCUAAGUUCCUUGGAACAGGACGUCGUAGAGGGUGAGAAUCCCGUAUGCGGCUGGCGCCCGUGCCCGUGUAAAGCUCUUUCAACGAGUCGAGUUGUUUGGGAAUGCAGCUCUAAAUGGGUGGUAAAUUUCAUCUAAAGCUAAAUAUUGGCCAGAGACCGAUAGCGCACAAGUAGAGUGAUCGAAAGAUGAAAAGCACUUUGGAAAGAGAGUUAAACAGUACGUGAAAUUGUUGAAAGGGAAGCGCUGGCAACCAGACUUGGGCGCUGUUGAUCCGCUAGGGUUCUCUCUAGGGCACUCGGCAGUGCGCAGGCCAGCAUCGGUUUGGGGGGUUGGAGAAUGGCUGGUGGAAUGUGGCUGUCUUUGGGCAGUGUUAUAGCCACCGGUGGCAUGCAGCCUCCCCGGACCGAGGACCGCGCUUCGGCUAGGAUGCUGGCGUAAUGGUUGUCAGCGACCCGUCUUGAAACACGGACCAAGGAGUCUAACAUCUAUGCGAGUGUUUGGGUGUUAAACCCAUACGCGGAAUGAAAGUGAACGUAGGUGAGAACCCGCAAGGGUGCAUCAUCGACCGAUCCUGAUGUCUUCGGAUGGAUUUGAGUAAGAGCAUAGCUGUUGGGACCCGAAAGAUGGUGAACUAUGCCUGAAUAGGGUGAAGCCAGAGGAAACUCUGGUGGAGGCUCGCAGCGGUUCUGACGUGCAAAUCGAUCGUCAAAUUUGGGUA
rnacentral:rRNA from 1 species